rnacentral:lncRNA from 1 species
CAAAAUAUAUUUCUUGAGCGUGUUUUCAAAUGAUCAACACCACAUACGCUAAUACAUUCAUAUGCUAAUACAUAUCCACAAAUUGUAUUCACAUCACAUAUGCUAAUACAUUCAUACUAUAGAGUCCAACACAUACUAAGAUCUCAUACAUGAUAUUAGAUCAAAUUGAAAUAUACAAAGUUUGUAUUCAUCCGAGGUCACAUGAAAAAGUUUGUAUUCAACUACAAAAUAUAAGAUCUCAUUAACAAC